rnacentral:sRNA from 1 species
AAAUGUUUUGAAUAAGAUUCUCUCCCAAUUUAUUAUAAACGGUUGUGGACUCUUUGCUCGUAUCUUGGAAAAACUUUCCAAAAGGCAAGACAACUCAUUCACCCGACCCGAGCUCCAAAUGCCGAAAAAGCAUUUUUGCAAGAAAAUUUGGAAUGCUGAUGCCCUGUAAUCUAUGGAGGAAGUAUAUCCUAAAGGUUGGAAAUCUUAUUGUGAUGCUUGUGUGUGGUGUGCGGCAGUGUGGAAUUAAUUUGUAA